UAAAUGACUGCUACAAGACAAAAAUAUUGAGAGCUUAAUAUCAAGAAAAUCAAUUGAGGGAACAAUAACUGCAGAUAGGAUGGCUUUUUAGCAGGAUUGUUGGCAAAAUCAGUCAAGGAAAUGAACUAUCAUCAAGGUGGGAGUGUGUCAGGAGCAGUAACAAUAAAUGGCUGCUACAAGACAAAAAUAUUGAGAGCUUAAUAUCAACAAAAUUAAUUGAGGAAACAAUAACUGCAGAUAGGAUGGCUUUUUAGCAGGAGGAUUGUUGGAAAAAUCAGUCAAGGAAAUGAACUAUCAUCAAGGUGGGAGUGUGCCAGGAGCAGUAACAAUAAAUGGCUGCUACAAGACAAAAAUAUUGAGAGCUUAAUAUCAACAAAAUCAAUUGAGGAAACAAUAACUGCAGAUAGGAU